ACGAACGCUGGCGGCGUGCCUAAUACAUGCAAGUCGAACGCAUUUUCUUUCACCGUAGCUUGCUACACCGAAAGAAAAUGAGUGGCGAACGGGUGAGUAACACGUGGGUAACCUGCCCAUCAGCGGGGGAUAACACUUGGAAACAGGUGCUAAUACCGCAUAAUUCCAUUUACUGCAUGGUAGAUGGAUGAAAGGCGCUUUUGCGUCACUGAUGGAUGGACCCGCGGUGCAUUAGCUAGUUGGUGGGGUAACGGCCUACCAAGGCUGCGAUGCAUAGCCGACCUGAGAGGGUGAUCGGCCACACUGGGACUGAGACACGGCCCAGACUCCUACGGGAGGCAGCAGUAGGGAAUCUUCGGCAAUGGACGCAAGUCUGACCGAGCAACGCCGCGUGAGUGAAGAAGGUUUUCGGAUCGUAAAACUCUGUUGUUAGAAAAGAACAAGGAUGAGAGUGGAAAGUUCAUCCCUUGACGGUAGCUAACCAGAAAGCCACGGCUAACUACGUG
rnacentral:rRNA from 1 species